AUUGGGAAGGAUAAGGAGGAAAAAAGUGUGGCACUCAUUCUCACCUGGAGAGUUCAGACUCAGUGCAGGGCAGUUUAUCUCCUCUGUGCUACUCCUCUCUUGUGCUUUUGGGGUAGCUUUUUUGGUUGAACUGAAAGUGUACCGUGAAAUUCCUGUGUUUCAAACAAGUCCCAAGUACUGAAGUUUUCAGCUCAUGCCAGUCAAUUCAGCGUCACCCCGUUGAGAUUCUACAUUGAAGCUAUAUGAUAUUUUACCAGAAGUUUAUUAAACUAUUUAGAACUUGAUUGAAUCGAGGCUGCAAGGUUUUAGGUCUAUUGCUUGGUUUCCGGUGCACACAAAGUGAGGAUUUUAGGCCUAUUUGUUUGGUUGCCAAUGCAAAUAUAUCUGACAGCACACUGAUAGCAACUUGAAACGGAGAACAUAACUGUAAGAUGAACUGAAGUAUAUGGUUGUCUGGAGUCUGGCGCUAAUCCAUAAUCUGAAACGACUGCUCUAGAAUGGAGUUCAGUAGAUCGCUUUAGCCUGGCAGCCAUGGCCAAAAGACUUGAGAAUCUCAUUUGAUUCAGUUCUCAUCCAAACGCUAGCAAUCGUAGUCCAGAAGGCGCACCAGAAUGCUAUGUCGUCCUCUGAAUUUCUUUCUACGACAUGUUUUCUAUUUAAACGAUAUUAUUUGUAUUUGUUCUCCUUUUUUCUACAGCCACGAACCUGAACCAAAAGGCCAAUUGAGCAUAGAAUACUAGAUGAUUUGUGUCUAUCAGCCAGAUAGGUGCAUGGUCUAUCAUCUAUGGUGCAUUGACAAUUUGACAUAUGUCAUAUUAAAAGCAGAACCUGACUGUUCUGAAGCACCAGCUCUGAAGACUAACAAAAAUGGAAGCUAUGCGGCUAUGCCCUCACUUACAUUCCUGGGGAUCAAUGGCUCAGUGCAACAUCAUCAACAU